rnacentral:rRNA from 1 species
UACAGAGGGGGCAAGCGUUGUUCGGAAUUACUGGGCGUAAAGCGCAUGUAGGCGGCAGCGCAAGUCGGGCGUGAAAUCCCACGGCUCAACCGUGGAAGUGCGCUCGAAACUGCGCAGCUAGAGUCCUGGAGAGGAAGGUGGAAUGCUUGGUGUAGAGGUGAAAUUCGUAGAUAUCAAGCGGAACACCGGUGGCGAAGGCGGCCUUCUGGACAGUUCCUGACACUGAGACACGAAGGCCAGGGGAGCAAACGGG